AGAGCCACUUUUGGGUUCCCUAU
rnacentral:miRNA from 1 species